CACGACACAGGCGCUCUCUUUGGUGGACAGAUCUGUAAACCUUUAUUCCACUCACUUCCACCAUCUGUCCUGCCACUUCAGAGUUCAGAAAAUAUAAAAGCACAUCCACCAUUUCAGUCUUUGACCCACCACAGACUGAUCAUAGCACGUCCUCCCUGCACCUACAUCAUGAAGAUGCUGCUCAUGUUGACCUGCAUGGUGCUUGCUGCUGCCUGUGCUUGUGUACACACAAGGAAUUCAUCACUGGACAAUGCCUGGGAGGAAUGGAAGCACAUACAUGGAAAGCAAUACUCAAAGGAGCAAGAGAUCUACAGGCGGAUGGUAUGGGAAGACAACCUGCACCAAAUUGUGGAGCACAACAGAGAAUACCUUGAGGGGAAGCAUAGCUACACCAAGGGCCUGAAUUAUUUCUCUGAUAUGACAGAAAUUGAGUUUGAGCUGUCGAUGCGGGGCAUAAACCCGUUUGUGACUUGGGAGAAGAAGUACAGACAGCAGAAAUGGUUACCAACAUUGUUUUGAUAUUUGGAUUUGCAAAGACCAGCAGAAGAACCACCCAAAGAGUAACAUCCCCAUCAACCCUCCCUGUGAUGACGUCACUUCUGUCCUCAACUGAUGACCAUUUCCCACACAGAUCCCAUUUACAGAAGAAAUCACUUCCUCCUUUCAGCUUCUCUGAACCAUCCCCUUCCUGUCUCCGCCAUCUAGAAGUCUCUGUUUACCCUCUAUAACUAGUUCCUAUUUUUGAACUCAAUUGUAACCACCAGUUUUCUUUUUGCUGUGACUUCAGCAUAUAGGGUGGCCAUCCCCAAAUCUUUUUGUGUCUCCUG